rnacentral:rRNA from 1 species
UACGUAGGGGGCGAGCGUUGUCCGGAAUCAUUGGGCGUAAAGCGCGAGCAGGCGGCCUGCAGAGCCUGGCGUGAAAGCCCCCGGCUCAACCGGGGGAGGUCGUUGGGGGACCUGGAGGCUAGAGACCGGUAGGGGAGGGUGGAAUUCCCGGUGUAGUGGUGGAAUGCGUAGAGAUCGGGAGGAACACCAGUGGCGAAGGGCGGCCCUCUGGGCCGGGUCUGACGCUGAGGCGCGAAGGCGUGGGGAGCGAUCCGG